CCUACGGGGGCUGCAGUGGGGAAUAUUGGACAAUGGGGGGAACCCUGAUCCAGCCAUGCCGCGUGUGUGAAGAAGGCCCUCGGGUUGUAAAGCACUUUCAGUGAGGAAGAACGCCUGGUGGUUAAUACCCAUCAGGAAAGACAUCACUCACAGAAGAAGCACCGGCUAACUCCGUGCCAGCAGCCGCGGUAAUACGGAGGGUGCGAGCGUUAAUCGGAAUUACUGGGCGUAAAGCGCGCGUAGGUGGCUUGAUAAGCCGGUUGUGAAAGCCCCGGGCUCAACCUGGGAACGGCAUCCGGAACUGUCAAGCUAGAGUGCAGGAGAGGAAGGUAGAAUUCCCGGUGUAGCGGUGAAAUGCGUAGAGAUCGGGAGGAAUACCAGUGGCGAAGGCGGCCUUCUGGACUGACACUGACACUGAGGUGCGAAAGCGUGGGUAGCAAACAGGAUUAGAUACCCUAGUAGUC
rnacentral:rRNA from 1 species